UGUGCAACCUGCUCGGGUGCCCUUCCACGUUAUGGAAGGUUUGUUCUUUUUGUUCUUUGCCUUAAAUGCUGCUACUGCUGCUCGGUCUUUGGGUCCACACUGCCUUUAUGAGCUGUAACACCACGAAGGUCUGCAGCUUCACUCCUGAAGCCAGUGAGACCACAAACCCACUGGGAGGAACAAACAACUCCAGACGCGCCCCCUUAAGAGCUGUAACAUUCACCAGGAAGGUCUGCAGCUUAGAGCGAGACCACAAACCCCCCAGAAGGAAGAAACUCCGAACACAUCCGAACAUCAGAAGGAACAAACUCCGGACACGCCACCUUUAAGAACUGUAACAUUCACUGCGAGGGUCCGCGGCUUCAUUCUUGAAGUCGGUGAGACCGAGAACCCACCAAUUCUGGACACAGAACGAAUCAACCAAGGAUGGAAAGCCCCUCUUUGAGCCGAAGGACUAGAAGAACAAAAGACUCAGCCCCAAGGUUAUCCGUGCUCACCUAGCAACACUGGCUGUGGCUGAGGAGUGGUGUUCCUCUACACAGAGCCUGGGCUUUCCUCCAGACUUGCUGCCCUCAUGCAAGCCUCCUGCCUGAUGUCACCUGCCUGAUGCUGGUGCUUUUCGACUGCUGUAUCUGUGAAGGGAGAAGCAUUUGCUGCUGAAAGAGUUAUUGUAUUUGCUAUUGGCAACACUUGAGAGUAAAGUUUAGCAGAGUAAGAGAGACAUAAAUCUAGAGGUUUGGGGUAGUUUCUUUUUAAAGGAUGUAUCAUUUGUUUAUUUUAAAAAGUCUAAGAAGAAAAGAGGAAAGCAGCGGACACUUUUGAGAGCAUUUGAGGGUUAGAAAAGAUUUACAUCUUAGGAAUGAGGAUCCUUGAGCUUGUUUCCAAGUUCAUGGUGUUUUGAGUGUGGCAAGACUUUUUAAUACUAUGAAUGAUGCCCAUGGAAUCUUCUGUAACACUCAAUUGACGGGAAUCCUGAGGUACUAUAUAUCCCAGAUCUUAAUUUUCCCAAACACAUUGGAGUAUGAAGGACACGUUGUGAAUGACAGAAUUCUGUCAUUAUAUUUAAUUUACUAUCAAAUUUACCUACUAAAGUAGAGGACUGAUUAAGAUAAAUACAGACAAUGAUCUCAUCCUGGAAGGAAUUACUAUGGAAAAAGAAUUUGACAAGAAGAUCCCCUUUUUAUCUGAACAAUAAAACAUAUCAAUUUCUCCAAGCUCUUAUGUUUGGCCAGUUCAUCUGGUGAGAGAAUGGAAAAAGGGAGACAUUCAUCAAUUUUACAACCUGCAGUCCAUCAUCAGACCAAAUCAGGAAGAAGAGUGCAUGGAGAAAACAUUUGGGAAGAAAAGGUAUUUUCAAAACAUCUGGAGCAAGAGACAAAUCCCAUCAGCUCAGUUCCAACAAUAUAUGCAGGUAAGAUUUUGUUCUUGGAAAGUCUUCAAUUGCCCCCAUUAGCUCUAAACCUUUUAGCUCUGGCCAGCAGUAGCAAAUUAGAAUUAAUAAUGUGGCUUUUGAAAAAGCAACAGUGAUGUAAUUAUUGUAUCAGCAUAAGGUUAAUGAUUUUUAAAAUGGAAAGGCUAGUGAUGUGCUUAGAAUUUUUUAAAAAUCAAAGAAAUUAUCUCAGUUGAAUUUGCCUCCUUCUGCUUGUUCUUCAGGUAAUAAGGUUGAGUGAAGAGUUAACAUUGCUGCAAGUAGGAUUAUCUGCAAAAACAUUAAGCCAGUCUUGACUUGCUUAACAGAUAAAAUUCAGCCAGAAAAUGAAAAUAGGGGGUGAAUGUUUGUGUGGGAAACACAGGAGCCUAGUUUAGCACUCUACCCAAAUGCGUUGAAGAUGCUGCUGAAUGUUUCAUUUGGGAUACCAAUCUAGCUACAAGUAUCUGGAAGAAUCAAAAAAUGUUUUCCAAAGUUAGUACAUAGGCGUGAAAACCAAAGAGCAGACCCAAUGCACAACUCAGUUCCGCUAAAGGCCUGUGAGACCUCUCAUGGUUGAAUACUCAGAAAUUUUUAAGUAACUAGUAUUCUCCAUAAACAAAAAUAAAGAUGGUAAUAUAAUACACCAUUUUUCUAACAAGAUUCUACUGGUUAGAAAAAUGGUGUAAAUGUAUAGGCUAGUCUAGGCAUUGAUGGACUGCAGCAGGUAUUCAGAACACUGGUGAUGUUUGAGAGGCAUAUUGGGGAACAUGGCAGCAGAUUUCUGGACAUGUCUCCCAUUUCUAUCUCUUAUUAAAUGUAUGACCAUGAGUACUUUACUUUACUUUUUGGUGGCUCAGUGUUCUCAUUGGUAAAAUAUGGCUAGAAAUAGUACUUUGUGGGUUAUUUGGAGGGACAAAGGUGAUAACAUAUUUAAAAUGCUUAGUCCUGUGCAUUACCCAUUCAUAUAUUCAGCAGACAAUAUGCUGAAAGUGCUCAUUAAAUAUUAGAUAUUGGCUGGGCGUGAUGGCUCACACCUGUAAUCCCAGUGCUUUGGGAGGCCAAGGCGAGUGGAUCACUUGAAGUCAGGAGUUCGAAACCAGCCUGGCGAACAUGGUGAAACCCCUGUCUCUACU